GCGGAUGUGGUGGAAUUGGUAGACACGCCAGGUUUAGGUCCUGGUGCCUUCGGGCGUGGGAGUUCAAGUCUCCCCAUCCGCA
rnacentral:tRNA from 1 species